rnacentral:rRNA from 1 species
UGAGGAAUAUUGGUCAAUGGACGAGAGUCUGAACCAGCCAAGUAGCGUGAAGGAUGAAGGUUCUAUGGAUUGUAAACUUCUUUUAUACGGGAAUAAACGGAUCCACGCGUGGAUUUCUGCAUGUACCGUAUGAAUAAGGAUCGGCUAACUCCGUGCCAGCAGCCGCGGUAAUACGGAGGAUCCGAGCGUUAUCCGGAUUUAUUGGGUUUAAAGGGAGCGUAGAUGGGUUGUUAAGUCAGUUGUGAAAGUUUGCGGCUCAACCGUAAAAUUGCAAUUGAUACUGGCAGUCUUGAGUACAGUUGAGGUAGGCGGAAUUCGUGGUGUAGCGGUGAAAUGCUUAGAUAUCACGAAGAACUCCGAUUGCGAAGGCAGCUUACUAACCUGUAACUGACAUUGAUGCUCGAAAGUGUGGGUAUCAAACAGG